CACGAUAAGAGCCCAGCCCAUAACUGAUCGCAUCUCCAUCACCGUCUUCCACAGCAAAGCACGAAAACCCUAAAAACUAGAACUAGAAAACGAAACCAAACCUACCUGCAAAAAUCUAAUUUGACAAAUCUUUUGGAUGACAAAUUCGCUUGUAUUGCACAAUGGGAGCCAGCCGUAAGCUUCAGGGAGAGAUCGAUCGGGUUCUCAAGAAGGUCCAGGAAGGCGUUGAUGUCUUCGACAGUAUCUGGAACAAGGUUUACGAUACGGACAAUGCGAACCAGAAGGAGAAGUUCGAGGCGGACUUGAAGAAGGAGAUCAAGAAACUCCAGCGGUACAGGGACCAAAUCAAGACAUGGAUCCAGUCCAGCGAGAUCAAAGACAAGAAGGUUAGUGCCUCUUAUGAGCAGGCUUUGGUGGAUGCUCGUAAACUUAUUGAACGUGAAAUGGAAAGAUUUAAGAUCUGCGAAAAGGAGACUAAGACAAAAGCAUUCUCUAAAGAAGGACUAGGCCAACAACCUAAAACUGAUCCAAAGGAGAAGGCUAAAUCAGAGACAAGGGAUUGGUUGAACAAUGUGGUUUCAGAGUUGGAGUCUCAGAUUGAUAGCUUUGAAGCGGAGAUUGAGGGGCUAUCUGUUAAGAAGGGAAAGACUAGGCCGCCAAGACUGACACAUUUAGAGACAUCUAUCACCCGGCACAAAGCUCAUAUAAUGAAGUUGGAACUGAUCUUGAGGCUCCUGGAUAAUGAUGAACUGAGUCCCGAGCAGGUUAAUGAUGUUAAAGACUUCCUGGAAGAUUAUGUGGACCGAAAUCAGGACGAUUUUGAAGACUUUAGUGAUGUUGAUGAGCUUUACAACACUUUACCACUAGACAAGGUGGAGUCUCUUGAAGACCUGGUUGUAAUUGGUCCUCCCAGUCUUGUUAAGGGGGCACCUGUUCUUAGCUUGAAGACAUCUUUGGUGGCAUCAGCCUCUCAAAUUCCUGCCACUGGUGCGUCUAAUCUUCAGCAGAGUACUGUCCCAGAGCAAGUUGAAGAUACGGCUCCCCAGGACAUUAAUUCUGAUACUGUUCCAAGAACUCCACCGCCCAAAAGUAGUGUACUUGCUUCUUCUGCAGCAUCUACACCAGUUGGGAGUCAUGCGACAGCUAAUGUUUCUGCUCAUAAUUUGUCUAGUGUCUCCACUGCUUCAGCGAGCCUUCCAGUUUCAGGCUCUAUUCGAGUUGUCACAGAGAACACUGGUACUACCAAUUCUUCUUCUGCUUUGAGUCUGUCCCCUUCUGCAAGGGAAGAAGAUAGUCUUCCUGGCCGCAGAUCAUCUCCAUCUCUUUCUGAUGCUGGACUUGUAAGGGGAAUUGGUAGAGGUGGCCUCUCCAGCCAACCGUCAGCUAGUAUCCCUCUUAGUGCUAGCAAUGUAGUUCCUGGAAAUGGAGCUGUUGGUGCAGUUCCUUCAGCCUCAGACAUGACGAAGAGAAACAUUUUAGUAGCGGAUGAGAGACUUGGGAGUAGUGGCAUGGUGCAGCCUUUGGUUUCCCCUCUAAGUAAUAGAAUGAUUUUGCCUCAGGGUGCCAAGGCAAACGAUGGAACUGGUGCGAUUGAUUCUAGUAAUGUUGGUGAGCCUCCAGCUAUAGCUGCUGGCAGAGUUUUUUCCCCUCCUAUGGUCCCUGGUAUGCAAUGGAGGCCUGGAAGUGCCUUUCAGAACCAGAAUGAAGCGGGGCAGUUUCGUGGAAGAACUGAAAUUGCACCUGAUCAGAGGGAGAAGUUUUUGCAACGGCUCCAACAGGUGCAGCAACAAGGUCACAGCACCCUUCUUAGCAUGCCAACUCUUGCUGCAGGAAAUCAUAAGCAGUUUUCUUCACAACAGCAAAACCCACUCUUGCAGCAGUUUAAUUCUCAAAGCACAUCUGCCUCUUCUCAAGCUGGUCUGGGACUUGGAGUCCAGGCACCUGGUCUCAAUAAUGUUACUCCUGCCACCUUACAGCAACAGAAUAAUUCCAUCCAUCAACAGUCUAAUCAACAGGCAUUGAUGUCAAGUGGUCCAAAAGAUGCUGAUGUUGGUGCUGCAAAAGUUGAGGAGCAGCAGCAACAACAGAAUUUACCUGAUGAUUCAAUUGUUGACUCUACAAGUGGUUCUGGGCUUGGAAAGAAUCUCAUGAAUGAGGAUGAUUUGAAAGCCUCUUAUGCAAUAGAUAGUCCUGCAGGGGUAUCUGGCUCUUUGACCGAGCCUGCUCAAGUCCCUAGAGAUAUUGAUCUCUCUCCUGGGCAACCUUUACAAUCAAAUCAACCUUCUGGGAGCCUUGGUGUUAUUGGCCGAAGAAGUGUUUCUGACCUUGGUGCCAUUGGGGAUAGCCUCAGUGGAUCAACUCUGAAUUCUGGGGGAAUGCAUGAUCAGUCAUACAAUUUGCAGAUGCUUGAGGCUGCUUAUUAUAAACUUCCUCAACCCAAAGAUUCUGAACGUGCAAGAAGUUAUACUCCACGGCACCCUGCAAUUACUCCUUCUAGCUAUCCUCAAGUACAGGCGCCUAUUGUUAAUAAUCCUGCCUUCUGGGAACGACUAGGUCUGGAAGUUAAUGGCACUGACACUCUCUUCUUUGCAUUUUACUAUCAGCAGAACACUUAUCAACAAUAUUUGGCUGCAAAAGAGUUGAAGAAGCAAUCUUGGAGAUACCACAAGAAAUACAAUACAUGGUUUCAACGGCAUGAGGAGCCCAAAGUUGCCACAGAUGAAUAUGAACAGGGGACGUAUGUGUACUUUGAUUUUCAUAUUGCCAAUGAUGACCUGCAGCAUGGAUGGUGUCAGAGAAUCAAGACAGAAUUCACUUUUGAGUACAACUAUCUUGAAGAUGAACUUAUGGUAUAGAGGAUCUGAAGAACAUUGAACAUGUCAUUGUUGUCUUCCAGGUGGAAUUCACAUGUAAACAUGUUGCUUUGGGUGCUGCACAUAACAGUAGACGUGGAGUUUGUUGUCAAAUGGCUUUGGCCUUCUGUUCUUGCAGUGGGUCAGUUUCGUGGCCUGUAAGCUGUGAGCAUGAUCCUUUAUUUCUUGCUGCUUUUACAUACGCUCUGCCUCUUCGCGCUUAAGAAGCCCUCAACUUUUCGGAUGCUGAUGUUUUCAUAAGCUAGCCUUGGAUUUGUAAUUGUAGGGUUACGUAUUUUGCAAUACAGGAGGAGUUGACAUGUGUAAGUGAAAAAAUAUAUAAUAUGAUUAGAUCAAAAACCCCAUACCCCAGGGAAGUUGACGAUUGAAUAUGAUUUAUUUAUGUGGAACUAGUUUUGACUGACAUACAUGAAG